rnacentral:sRNA from 12 species
ACUUAGUGGAAAACUUAACAACUCGAGACGGUAAGAAGGAAACUAAGGAGUAGAAGAAGAAGGGUGAAAAGAUGAAAGAAAUUUCACCACAUGCAGGGAAAGGGUAACUCGCCUGCACUAGAAAACCCACUAGACCCCUUCAACUUCG